AUUGAACGCUGGCGGCAUGCCUAACACAUGCAAGUCGAACGGCAGCGCGGGUAGCUUGCUACCUGGCGGCGAGUGGCGGACGGGUGAGUAAUGCGUAGGAAUCUGCCCAGUAGCGGGGGAUAGCCCGGGGAAACCCGGAUUAAUACCGCAUACGCCCUACGGGGGAAAGCAGGGGAUCUUCGGACCUUGCACUAUUGGAUGAGCCUAUGUCUGAUUAGCUUGUUGGUAGGGUAACGGCCUACCAAGGCGACGAUCAGUAACUGGUCUGAGAGGACGAUCAGCCACACCGGAACUGAGACACGGUCCGGACUCCUACGGGAGGCAGCAGUGGGGAAUAUUGGACAAUGGGGGAAACCCUGAUCCAGCAAUGCCGCGUGUGUGAAGAAGGCCUGCGGGUUGUAAAGCACUUUCAGUUGGGAAGAAACAGCGACCGGCUAAUAUCCGGUUGUCUUGACGUAACCAACAGAAGAAGCACCAGCUAACUCCGUGCCAGCAGCCGCGGU
rnacentral:rRNA from 1 species